CAGAAGGCUUAAGUCCCAGUGCAUCAGCUGGACACAGGAAAUCAUGUUUAGAGAGAAAUGGCCAGACCUGAGCAUGACAAUGUGGAUGGAUUUCUGAAAUGCAUUGUAAAGAUACAUAUCCUGAGAUGUCAGCAGUUACUGGAGAAGAAUUCCUCUUUUCCUGCAAGACAUUUUAAAAAUUGUCAUCUCUCCUCCUGUAAAAUGUGCAAAUUCAAAACCUAAUAAAGCUAUAA